GACAGAGGGUGCAAACGUUGUUCGGAAUUACUGGGCGUAAAGCGCGUGUAGGCGGCCAUCUAAGUCGGGCGUGAAAUCCCACGGCUCAACCGUGGAAGUGCACUCGAAACUGGAUGGCUAGAGUCCUGGAGAGGAAGGUGGAAUGCUUGGUGUAGAGGUGAAAUUCGUAGAUAUCAAGCGGAACACCGGUGGCGAAGGCGGCCUUCUGGGACAGUGACUGACGCUGAGACGCGAAAGCGGUGGGGAGCAAACAGGG
rnacentral:rRNA from 1 species